GGCCAAUUAGAAUAUGCAAAGCAUGAGACUCUUCAUCUCAGGGUCGUGGGUUUAAGCCCCACAUUGGGCA